UGAGAACCAUCGUGACAUCUACAUCAGC
rnacentral:piRNA from 2 species